GCCAGGGUGGCGUAGUGGUUAGCGCAUUUGCUUCUUCAGCAGGAAACAAGGGUUCGAGUCCCGGCCUUGGCA